rnacentral:tRNA from 1 species
GCCGAGAUGGCGGAAUUGGUAGACGCGUAGGUCUCAAAAACCUAUGAAGGCAACUUCAUGAGGGUUCGAUUCCCUCUCCCGGCACCG